CCAGGCUUGACAUCUGGGAAACCUGCAGGAAACUGUGGGGUGCCCUUCGGGGAAUCCCAAGACAGGUGCUGCAUGGCUGUCGUCAGCUCGUGCCGUGAGGUGUUGGAUUAAGUUCCGCAACGAGCGCAACCCUUGCCCUUAUUUGCCAUCAUUAAGUUGGGGACUAUAAGGGGACCGCCGGUUUAUAGCCGGAGGAAGGCGGGGAUGACGUCAAGUCAGCAUGGCCUUUAUGCCUGGGGCUACACACGUGCUACAAUGGCCGGUACAACGGGUCGCAACACCGCGAGGUGAAGCCAAUCCCUUAAAGCCGGUCUCAGUUCGGAUUGGAGUCUGCAACCCGACUCCAUGAAGUUGGAAUCGCUAGUAACCGUGGAUCAGCACGCCGCGGUGAAUACGUUCU
rnacentral:rRNA from 1 species